rnacentral:rRNA from 1 species
UAGUAGGUGAGUGAUGGGGUGACGCAGGAAGGUAGUCCAUCCCGGGCGGUGGUUGUCCCGGGGUAAGGGUGUAGGACGUCAGGUAGGUAAAUCCGCCUGGCAAUAGUCUGAGACCUGAUGCCGAGCCGAUUGUGGUGAAGUGGAUGAUCCUAUGCUGUCGAGAAAAGCCUCUAGCGAGUUUCAUGGCGGCCCGUACCCUAAACCGACUCAGGUGGUCAGGUAGAGAAUACCGAGGCGUUCGGGUGAACUAUGGUUAAGGAACUCGGCAAAAUGCCCCCGUAACUUCGGGAGAAGGGGGGCCAUUCCUGGUGAUCGGAUUUACUUCGUGAGCUGGGGGUGGCCGCAGAGACCAGCGAGAAGCGACUGUUUACUAAAAACACAGGUCCGUGCGAAGCCGUAAGGCGAUGUAUACGGACUGACGCCUGCCCGGUGCUGGAACGUUAAGGGGACCGGUUAGCUCAGAUUCGUCUGGGCGAAGCUGAGAACUUAAGCGCCAGUAAACGGCGGUGGUAACUAUAACCAUCCUAAGGUAGCGAAAUUCCUUGUCGGGUAAGUUCCGACCUGCACGAAUGGCGUAACGACUUCUCGACUGUCUCAACCAUAGGCCCGGUGAAAUUGCACUACGAGUAAAGAUGCUCGUUUCGCGCAGCAGGACGGAAAGACCCCGGGACCUUUACUACAGUUUGAUAUUGGUGUUCGGUUCGGCUUGUGUAGGAUAGCUGGGAGACUGUGAAGCCUGGACGCCAGUUCGGGUGGAGUCGUCGUUGAAAUACCAGUCUGGUCGUGCUGGAUGUCUAACCUGGGUCCGUGAUCCGGAUCAGGGACAGUGUCUGAUGGGUAGUUUAACUGGGGCGGUUGCCUCCUAAAGGGUAACGGAGGCGCCCAAAGGUUCCCUCAGCCUGGUUGGCAAUCAGGUGUUGAGUGUAAGUGCACAAGGGAGCUUGACUGUGAGACCGACGGGUCGAGCAGGGACGAAAGUCGGGACUAGUGAUCCGGCGGUGGCUUGUGGAAGCGCCGUCGCUCAACGGAUAAAAGGUACCCCGGGGAUAACAGGCUGAUCUUCCCCAAGAGUCCAUAUCGACGGGAUGGUUUGGCACCUCGAUGUCGGCUCGUCGCAUCCUGGGGCUGGAGUCGGUCCCAAGGGUUGGGCUGUUCGCCCAUUAAAGCGGUACGCGAGCUGGGUUUAGAACGUCGUGAGACAGUUCGGUCCCUAUCCGCUGUGCGCGUAGGAGUCUUGAGAAGGGCUGUCCCUAGUACGAGAGGACCGGGACGGACGAACCUCUGGUGUGCCAGUUGUUCUGCCAAGGGCAUGGCUGGUUGGCUACGUUCGGGAGGGAUAACCGCUGAAAGCAUCUAAGCGGGAAGCCUGCUUCGAGAUGAGGACUCCCACCCACUUGAUGGGGUAAGGCUCCCAGUAGACGACUGGGUUGAUAGGCCGGAUAUGGAAGCACGGUAACGUGUGGAGUUGACCGGUACUAAUAGGCCGAGGGCUUGUCCAU